GGCUCAGGAUGAACGCUGGCGGCGUGCCUAAUACAUGCAAGUCGAACGAGGUGCUCAAGUAGCAAUACGAGAGUAUCCUAGUGGCGAACGGGUGAGUAACGCGUUGGUGACCUGCCCCAAAGUGUGGGAUAACAGUCCGAAAGGACUGCUAAUACCGCAUGUGGUCUUCGGAUCCAGAAACCGAUGACUAAAGGAGUAAUCCGCUUUGGGAGGGACCUGCGUCCCAUCAGCUAGUUGGUAGGGUAACGGCCUACCAAGGCUACGACGGGUAGGGGACCUGAGAGGGUGGCCCCCCACAAUGGAACUGAAACACGGUCCAUACACCUACGGGUGGCAGCAGUAGGGAAUAUUGCACAAUGGGCGAAAGCCUGAUGCAGCAACGCCGCGUGUGCGAAGAAGGCCUUCGGGUCGUAAAGCACUUUUCUGAGAGAUGAGAAAGGACAGUAUCUCAGGAAUAAGUCUCGGCUAACUACGUGCCAGCAGCCGCGGUAAAACGUAGGAGGCGAGCGUUAUCCGGAUUCACUGGGCGUAAAGCGCGUGCAGGCGGUUCGGUAAGUUGGGCGUGAAAUCUCCUGGCUCAACUAGGAGAGGUCGUUCAAUACUACCGGGCUAGAGAGCGGUAGAGGAAGAUGGAAUUCCCGGUGUAGUGGUGAAAUGCGUAGAUAUCGGGAGGAACACCAGUGGCGAAGGCGAUCUUCUGGACCGUUUCUGACGCUCAGACGCGACAGCUAGGGUAGCAAACGGGAUUAGAGACCCCGGUAGUCCUAGCCGUAAACGAUGUGAACUUGGCGUCGGUGGGUUAAACUCCAUCGGUGCCGCAGCUAACGCGAUAAGUUCACCGCCUGGGGACUACGGCCGCAGGGUUAAACUC
rnacentral:rRNA from 1 species